rnacentral:lncRNA from 1 species
AAGAAAACAAUUACAUUAAAAAUGAUUUAAAUAGAUGAUCUUGGAAUGGUGAUGACACUUAAUAGACCGUCGUAGAUCAUGAACUAUGUCAUCCAUCGAUCAGUAUAGUCUAUCAUAGACUUACACGUUUAUUAUCGCAUCGACUGAUAUCAUGAUUAGGCAUAGACCACGAUGAUCUAUGUACAAGGUUAUAGACCAUCACUUGG